rnacentral:lncRNA from 1 species
GACACCCUUCAGAGAAGGUAUUUAGUGGCAGAGAACCAGACUGGGGCACUGGCCUUGGGGGCGCAGCAGGAGGGCUUCCCUCGGGGGGCGGGUGUCAGGGAGGCUCCCAGCUGCCCCCACCUUCCUGGGCACAGGCCAGCUCCACGUGGGAAUUCAAGGCCACUAAGCUGGGCCACUCCUUCUCCCCAGGCCCCUCUUGGGGGAUGCCCGCCCUGAGGGAGUGGGCACGACCUUCCCUUGCACUCUCCCCUGGCAUUGUCUAGACUGCAGCCAUGCUGGGCUCCUUGGACUCCCCAGAGCCUACAGGAUGGUACCAAGUGCAACGUUCAAUUCUCACCCUGCCCCCCAUUCGCUUAGUUCCCGCUUUGCUUGGAGAACUUAGUUCUUCAGACAGUCAUUUGUUCACUGAUUUGUUAACCAGCUAUUUAUUAAGUGCCUACUAGACGGUUGACGUUAUGCUGGACCGUGAUCCGCUCGACUGGGGACAAACUAAAGCAGAGAAAAGGGAGCACAGUCGGAGGGCCCUAGCUGAGAAGCUGCCGUUUGAGCAGAACUUGGAGGAAAUGAGCCAUGUGGAUCUCUGGGGGCAGAGGGAACAGCCACCAGGCAGGGAGCUGGCGUGUUCGCGGAACAGCGGGAAGACCAGCAGGUCUGGAGCAGAGGGAGGAGGAGACGGGUCAGAGGGGUGAAGUGAGGGCUGCUGUAAGGGCUUUGGAACGAGAUGGGAGUCAGUGGAGAAUGUUGAGCUGGGAUGUGAGGUGUCAUGUGAUCUGAUUGGGGUUUUUUUUUUUCCCCCCGCACUUGUGCCACAAGGAAGUUCCCCAGGCCAGGAUGGAACCCACGCCACAGUUGCAGCCUGCGCCACAGCUGUGGCAAUACCAGAUCCUUAACUCACGGUGCCACAGGGGAACUUUCCUGACUGGGAUUUGAUGGGCUCCCUGGCUGCUGUGUCAAGAGGAGAUUGAGGGGUGUGGGGGGCAGUUAGGAAGUUACUGCCGUAGCUGAGGGCCCGUGAGGGAGACCAGUGCGGUGAGAGCUGAGGAGGGAGCUCCAGCAUCUACUCCAGGUCUGGUUGAUUCCACAGCUACUUUAUGCAAAUACAAGCCAAUGAGGGACCUGUUCUGGUCUUCCUCCACUUUAAAGUAACACACUAAACAAAGUCUUGGGAGCUCUGGGAUGCAGGCUCAAUCCCCAGCCCGGCACAGGAGGUUAAAGAUCUGGUGUUGCCGCAGCUGCCACUCAGAUCUGAUCCCUGGCCCGGGAACUCCAUAUUGCCAUGGGGAGGUCAAAAAAGAAGCAGCAAAAACAGGAAGAGGCCAGGGACACAGCCCUCUGGGGGACAUCGAGCGUGCUACAGAAAUUUCAGAUGCACUCAGCCUUUAACCUGGCCACCCGUUUCUAGAACGGAUCAUAUGGCCACAGCUGCACACAGCAACUUGACUUAGGUUCAGGGCUACUCAUUGUAGCAGCAACAUGUUGAACACACCCAAUAUCUCUCCAUGAGGAUCUGGUUAAAUCAAAGCAGUGCAUAUACCUAUACACACCUUUUCAGCUCUGGGGACCUGGGUGUGGCUUGUCAGCAGCCCCUCCAACCUGCUGCCCCAGCUUCCUCCGCCCCCACCCAGCUUUGCACUUAGUGCUCAGCUGGCCCGGGUGCUGUCCACACCUCUGGUGCUGAACGGUGGUGCUGGAGGGAUGCCUGGACUGCAAACCAGAUACCAAGAGUAGGGAAAAGAUACAGCAGGAGACAUUCAAGGUUCAGUGCCUGGCUCUGCGUCUUGCCAGCUGAGUGACCUUGGGCAAAUUGCUUAACCCCUGUGAGCUCGAUAUCCUUAUGAGUACAAUCGGGUUGCUGUCGAGAUUGAAUGGUCGUUGUAAGGUACAGCAUUGGCAGUUGAGAAAAUAAAUGAUCAUUGAAAUGAUUGUUUUAGAGCCCGUAAGCAUAGUGGUUACACUUCGGGCACUGCUGAGAUCCAGCCUGGAUUUGAAUCCUGGCUCCUCCACUUCCCGAUGGAUGAUCUUGAUCAAGUGACAUGACCGUUCCCUGUCUCAGUUUCCCUGUCUGUAAAUUGGAGUGACUAGCAGUCCCCGGUUCAUUGGAUGCUGUGAGGAUGAGAUGAGUUAAUUUACAUGAGGGACUUGGCACAUGACGGGUGUUAGCUGUGCUAUAGCUUUCCUCUCCGUCGUCAUCAGCCCUCUCCACAUCGCGCGCCAGCCUCUCUGUUCACGUGACCCGUGUCCCUCACAGCCACUCCCAUCUCUGCUGUGUUGGGGCUGGGGCUGUAGGAGGAAGGCAGUACUUUGCCUUACAGACAGCCUGGCUUCGAGCCCAGCUCUGCCCCUGACUUUCUCUGUGAUUUUGAGCAAAAUUUUGAUUUGGUUUUCAUCACCGUUCUCUCCUGGCCCUCAGUCUCUGCACCUGUAAAACAGGGCCCGUGAUAUCGCACACAGGUCCCUGGGGAAAUAGCUAUGUGCCUGCCGGGUCAUAUCCUGGAAAGCUAAGAUACAGAGUUACAGCUUACCAGACACCUAAAAGAAUUAUUCACCCGGCAUUUGUCACCCCUGGCUAAAGGCUAGGAAGAUGAAAGCAUGGGGCUUGCUUUCAAGGAUCGCGCAGGUUUCUUGCUAGAUUGUUAAUCCUCUUCAAGGCCCAUUCAUGUGUCACCGCCUCCAGGAAGGCAUCUGGAUUCCCACCGCCAGCGUUCUUCUUGGAAAUGUUGGAGCGCUGAUCAUAGCCUUUCUGGCUUCGUGCUUAUCUGAGGCCUUAUUUUAUUUGCCUCCUUGAUUUGUAGGCUCCUACCCUCUGUCUGACCUACUCCCCCCUGUGCCAGCUCCCAGCGCAGUGCCUGGGCUCAAGUAGAUAUGCCUGUCUGGAAUCUGUAGGCUCUGAGUUACAUAAAUUCAACUCUAACUGGUUUAAGCCGAAAAGGAAAUGUAUUGGAGUUCCCAUCAUGGCUCGGCAGGUUAGAACCCAACUGGUAUCCAUGAGGAUGUGGGUUCGAUGCUUGGCCUCACUCAGUGGGUUAACCCUCACUCUGGUGUGGCUGCAAGCUGGGGUGUAGGUCGCAGACUCGGCUUCAAUCCUGCAUUGCUCUGGCUGUGGCAUAGACCCGCACCUGCAGCUCCGAUUCGACUCCUAGCCUGGGAACUUCCAUA